UGGUGGAGUGAUUUGUCUGGUUAAUUCCGACAACGAACGAGACUCUAGCCUGCUAAAUAGACGGGCGAUCCCUUCGUGGGUCGACCCGAUUUGCUUCUUAGAGGGACAAGUGGCGUUCCUAGCCACGCGAAAUUGAGCAAUAACA
rnacentral:rRNA from 1 species